rnacentral:rRNA from 1 species
UACGUAGGGGACGAGCGUUGUCCGGAAUUACUGGGCGUAAAGGGCGCGCAGGCUGUAGAUCAAGUCAGCUGUGAAAUGUCUGGGCUUAACCUGGGCAUGCGGUUGAAACUGAUGUACUGGAGUGCUGUAGAGGCAAGUGGAAUUCCCAGUGUAGCGGUGAAAUGCGUAGAUAUUGGGAAGAACACCGGUGGCGAAGGCGACUUGCUGGGCAGCAACUGACGCUGAGGCGCGAAAGCCAGGGGAGCAAACGGGAUUA